ensembl:lncRNA
CAUCACUGAGAUUUCCCUUGGUCACAGCCAGGCUGCUGGGAGGAGGAGAGCAUAUUUCUACCUUUUUCACCUCUUUUUUCUUUUGCUGUGGAGAGGAAACCCACUGAAGCCUGCAGCGCUCUUUGCAGCUGGCCGAACUGCCAACCUGUGGGCCAUCUGCCACCCCCUUCCUACAUCUGCCACCUCCCUUGGGAGGGCUCUGCAGCCCGCAGCGACACGCACGCCAAUGAACACGCGGCGAGGCAUUCCCAACCAUCUGCACAGAGGUGAACGGAGCCCUGCUGCUGCACUCACAGAUCCGACAGCAGUCCAGUGAGAAGGAUCCACUUCAGAGGGAAAUGCAGUUAGCACGUCUGGGUUCUUUGUUCACCCAGCCUGCAAGCUAGCUUGCUGUUCAGGGCACCUCGAGGCAUCCCCGG